UAUGUCCGGAAGUAUUUCAAAUCCUUGAGGGAUUUAUAACUGUACCUCCGUUGUUAAUGGAUUUAUACACUUCUUCCUGUUCCAAUAGAUGAUAUUUCUGUCUACCUUCUGAUGCUUGUUUAGACAGUAUGCUUUUUGUUCUUCUCCUUUUUUGUUUUCUAGGGUUUGAUGGAUUUUUUAUGGAUCUGUAAUGGCAGCAGGUGGAGUUGUGGUGAUGGUGAUGCCAAAUGGAGAGGGUGAAAGCAGAGGUUUUGAUGGGGUCGGCAGUUGUGUGCCGCAGAGUUGUGGCAGCUGGUUGAAGAUGUGGUGAUGGUGAUUUGCUGUUGAAUCUCAGUGUGCUCGAAGAUGAGUAGGGUUCAACACCUCUGUAUCCCCUGCCCAUGUAGAUGAUGAUGAAGAAUCCAUCUUUCGUUAGACGUGUUUCUUUCAGGGUAGAGGUCAGUAGCAUGAAUAAUGUUUGAUGGUAUCCACAAUUACAUCAAUUCCAAAAAGAGCUCAAGCUAAGCUUAUCUUAUGUUUUGUCAAACUGGUUCUCAUGUGACUACAAGGCUUAUAGACGAUAACUAAAACUUUGGGAAGUCAUCAUUGUAAUAUUACAGGUAUUGCUAUUUCUUGCUCCCAAGCAAGUUGUUAAUUUUAAUGUUUUUUUCCUCACUUCAAGUGCUUCAAAUGUGAGGAAAUCGUUUCUUUAAAUCUGAAGCAUUUUCAAUGUCCUUCAGCUAUAUUAGUUGUUUGCAUAAGAAUUACCAUGAUAUGUUUUUCAAUGUCUUUUAGCUAUAUUAGUGGUAAGCAAGAAAUGUAUUGUGAAUGAGAUUGACGUGUAUUGGAUGUUUUAUUAUGACAACUUGGGGUUGGCUUCAAUGAGAGUUUUAUAAUGUAGGCAUUAUUUUGACUAGCUUUCAAAUAACUCUCUCCUCCGCAACCAUGUAAAUUUGAAUGGGAAAAAGGAUUCCAUUUUCAUUCA